UACGGAGGAUCCAAGCGUUAUCCGGAAUCAUUGGGUUUAAAGGGUCCGUAGGCGGUUUGGUAAGUCAGUGGUGAAAGCCCAUCGCUCAACGGUGGAACGGCCAUUGAUACUGCCAGACUUGAAUUAUUAGGAAGUAACUAGAAUAUGUAGUGUAGCGGUGAAAUGCUUAGAGAUUACAUGGAAUACCAAUUGCGAAGGCAGGUUACUACGUAAUGGAUUGACGCUGAUGGACGAAAGCGUGGGUAGCGAACAGG
rnacentral:rRNA from 1 species